UGCUCAUGGAAUGUUCAAUCAUUUUCAAAUCUUUUUUUUUUUUUUUUUUUGGAAUGAAGGACAAUUAAAUGCUAGGAUUUUGAAUGGCAAACACAUAAAUUGCAAAAUGGAUUUUAAGGUUACAACCAGAUGCGGAAGAUGCAGACAGCUUGGGGCCAAAGAUGAGAAAAAUAAUCUAAAAACUACGGACACACCAGCAUCUCUGCCACGAGCAUCUGACACUUCUCCAACACCAUUAUUGAUUUCUCCCGCUAGUAGCUGUGGGAGCAUUUCUCCAGGCAGUCACCCCGUGAGUGCCAAAAGGCCAAGUGAGCAGAGGACAGCUACUAAUGAUAUUAAGUUCAUCGCUU